AACACCCUCAGAGCUGCGUCUGCGGUGAACUGAGCAGGGUUUGUUUUACGGUGGCGGAUCCGAUUGGACCAUCGCUGCGAGAAAGCUCCACUUGUGUCAGACGAGCUGAAGGUUCAGAUGUUCUGCUCCACUGGCUCUCCUGAAGAAGCACGAGGCCCUGAUGCCGGACCUGUCGGCUUACGGCAGCAGCAUCCAGGCCCUGAAGGAGCAGGCCCAGUCCUGCAGGGGGAGUUCAGAACCCUCGGCCCGUCAGAACAUUCUUAUCCACCACGUUCUAACACCAGACCUGUUAACCCGACAGCAACAAGGUAAUCAGAAGGUGCUUUUGUCCUGCAGGACCUGAAGGCCAACGAGUCCCGCCCAUGGGACAUCAACAAGGUGGCAUCUGAACUGGAGUCAGAAGGUCUGAUGGCUGAGGAGGCUCCUAUGGUUCAGGCUCAGCAACAAGAACAUCUGGGUUCUGCUCCUGGAAAGGAUGAAGCCGACUCUAACACGGCGUCACCCUGGAAGGUGAGUUCAUUCAGCUGAUCAGAGGUCACCUCUGAUGGCCGCAGUCACGGCCGACCGUGCUGACAUCACACAGGAAUUCAGGUGACCCGGCAGGCACCAGGUGCUGGUGAAAGUGGGGACAUGUCAGCUGGUUGCCAUGGCUACAGUUAUCUUUAUGCAUCUGUAUGACUGCUGACUGGUGUGUGUUUCCUGCGACCUUUGACCUCAGACCGUACGGUUGGGCGUUCAGACGACGACUAACUUUAAUUCCAUCAAGGUAAGAGGAAGCUCUUCCCUUCCUGUCUGAGCGAUCCGUCUCCAGGUUUCCUCAUCCGGCGUCCAGCCCGCUGGCGUCCACCUUCAUCUCACCUUCAUCUCAUCUCACUUCAUUUAUAGUGCAAUACUUUCACAUUAUCAUUUUCCCACACUUCUGUAUACCUGUAUUUUGUUGUUUUUCAAUAAAGAAUGACAAAUUAUUUAAGUUUGGUUUUUGUUGCACACAAAUAUAUAUCCGUAAAAAAUAUCUACAAAGCUAAUGUUUACAUAACAAGUAUGAUUGGGUUUUGCAAUAUGGCACUCAAGUUUAUUUUAGUAAGAUUUUCAAACCAAGUAAAGUUAGUAAAGAACACAUUUCUAUUGUCUGCUAAGAAACUGUUGGGAUUUAAAAUGGGCCUGUUGUACAAAUAACUUGUAAAUGAUUAUUCCUCACUUUUGUCUUAACCAAAGAAAUUCCAGUAAUUGAGCAAAAACAUUUUUUUUAACACUACAUUUUAUAAAACAGGGCGCAAAGUGUCGGCACAUGUAUGUAUGUCGAUGGUCCGCCCCAACCAAACCAGGAGACACAGACGUCAGGGAGGCCACGGUUGUCUCCGACGGUCUCUGCAGCUCUCUGGGCACCACGCCUCACGUAGCUGUCUCCAAUGAUCCAAAUGGCUAUGGCGAAAAAAUAACAGGUUUGUCAUAAUUGUUAAAAGUACAAAACCAUACAUGAAGUGGUCAAGACAGGAACUUACACGCUGCGUUGUGUAGCUGAUGUUGGAGACACACAGGCUGCCAUGGUGACCUUUUAACAGAUCUAAGAAAAAAAUGUAAUAAAAGAAUGAAACUUAAAAACUCCCAGACCUCAUGUCAUAUUUACUAAUCAGCUAUGGCUGAUUUAUUGUUUGGAUCACAGUGAGUUACACUAAUUCUAAUAUAUUUUUAUUUCUAUUACACAUACAUACUUUUUAACUGUUAUUUUCACAUGACUGUUAUCAGGCUAUCUUGUUCUGGUUCUGAUGAUAAUUCCGUGUCUUCCAGUAAGUUAUCUUGUGCUUACUUCAUCUGUAUAAUGUCUCUUUACUUUUGGUAAAUUGUACUGAGUCCAGAAUAAAGGUUAGUUGGCUGUACAAGAUACAAACAAGUAUUACGUUUUGGAAAUAUAUGAAACACCGCCAGCAUCUGUUAGAGCCUGUGGCGGGGUGCUGAGGGCCGGCUCCAGCCCAGGAAUGAGCUCUCCACGCCGGCCGGGAGGGUUUGAAACACCGCCAUCCUCUCCUCUGCUGGCUGUUCAUUCUGUUAUGGUUACCGGUGCUUGUGUUGCAAUGUGAAACGCUUGGUCUCAGAUUUUGUAAGAAAGAUAAUAAAAUGUCCCCCCAAAAUA